UGGGGAAGGACAGGAGCAGGGCUGAAGAGUACCUGCGUCAGGGCCUGAGCUACCUCAAGGACCCUGAGCCCAGUGUGCGAGAGGCGGCCAUCAGGUUCAUCGGGGUGGCCACGCGGCACCUGAGGAACCGAAGCAAAGAGCAGCUGGAUGAGAUCUGCAGUGCCCUUCAGCCCUUGAAGACAGACAGCAAUGUAGUCAUCUCUUCCCUGGCAGAACAGACCAUCAGCAUCCUGGAGGCUUUAGGAC